rnacentral:misc_RNA from 1 species
UGAAUUCAUUUGGCUUAUCAGUCCGAAUUCAGACAAAUAUAAACAAAUCCCGCUCAAUAUUUAAAAUACUAACCGGUAAAAGAUAUUACUUAAACGUGUAAAUUCACUUUUCUUAAAACAACAAAAAACCGCCAAAAUCAGACGGUUAUUUGUUGCCGGUCUGGU